ACGUCAAUGGUUAAAAAGGGAAACUCCGUCAGAUAUUAAUAGAAUGCAUUGUUUUGUGUACAUUCGCAAUAAAUGCGAAGAUGCGACUAUAAUUGAGGAAAUACAAUGUACAACAAUUACAAAGUAUUUCCUCGUCAUAUUGUGUAUAAAAGUGGUCAUACUUGGUCCUCCAUCACAACCUGCCCUGACACAGACUGACGAAGUGUAACCUUUAGUAGUGGCCAAAGAAUCAAUCAACUGAAGAUGUUGAAGCUUAUCGUGCUGUCGUGUCUAGUUGCCUGUGUCUUGUGCCGGUCCUACGGCGGAGUAAGGCGUGAUUCCUCGUUGUUUGAUGGAAUCGGUAGAAACAGGUGGGAUACAGGCCUUGACCGUUGGGGAAACGAUCCUUGGAACGGUGAUAUCUAUGGAAGCGACAGGUACGGACGAGGAAGCGACAUGUGGAGAAACAGGCGGGAUCGUGGCAUUAUAAGAAGCAACAGAUGGGGAAACGAGAGGAUAUACUGAUGACGAAAUGAUCAAGUCUAGAAUAAGAUCCAUGUGGCCAAAUAUUUGAAAAGGAAAAUCCAAGCUUACCGUUUCAUGCUUACAUUCAUCUGUACAUUCAUAUUCAUCAAUGUUUGAAAAUAAAUUU